UAGCAGGUCCGCUUGGUGCC
rnacentral:misc_RNA from 1 species